rnacentral:ncRNA from 1 species
GCCAGGAGGUUUGCCUAGAAGCAGCCACCCUUGAAAGAGUGCAUAAUAGCUCACUGAUCGAGCGCUCUUGCGCCAAAGAUGAACGGGGCUAAGCGAUCUGCUGAAGCUGUGGGAUGUAAAAAUGCAUCGGUAGGGGAGCGUUCCACCUUAGGGGGAAGCACCCGCGUGAGCUGGAGUAGACGAAGCGGAAGCGAGAAUGUCGGCUUGAGUAACGCAAAC